rnacentral:rRNA from 1 species
AUUGAACGCUGGCGGCAGGCCUAACACAUGCAAGUCGAACGAGUGGCGGACGGGUGAGUAAUGUCUGGGAAACUGCCUGAUGGAGGGGGAUACCUACUGGAAACGGUAGCUAAUACCGCAUACCCUCCGCUGUUCCCAGAUGGGAUUCGCUUGUUGGUGGGGUAACGGCUAACCAAGGCGACGAUCCCUAGCUGGUCUGAGAGGAUGACCAGCCACACUGGAACUGAGAAACGGUCCAGACUCCUACGGGAGGCAGCAGUAGGGAAUAUUGCGCAAUGGGCGCAAGCCUGAUGCAGACAUGCCGCGUGUAUGAAGAAGGCCUUCGGGUUGUAAAGUACUUUCAUCGGGGAGGCGGUACCCACAGAGAAAGCACCGGCUAACUCCGUGCCAGCAGCCGCGGUAAUAC